ACAUAAAAGUUUAAAAUCAUGAACUGUGGACUCUGAGGUCAGGUUUCCUAGACAUUUUUGAAGAGUGGUUGGUGUCUUGACUUUAUUCUGUAUGGGAGACCUGUGGGGCUUAUGCGCUAUGUUGUUCAGUCGAGCUGGAUUUUCAGUGUCAAAUAUUGCACUCCAGUCCAGACAUCUGACCUGAAAGCUAUGUCACAUUUGGCAUCUGGCAAGUCUGCAGGAGAAGGUGCUGCUACUCUGGGCUGGUUCUUAGUGAUCAUUCUUCAAUUGCUGGUAACACCCAUGGAUCAAGACCCUUUGGAAAACAGCAGGAUUUUUGAUGGGGAUAACUGAUGUAAGGGCAUUGGCUGGUACCUGGAAUUUUCUCCCGUUCCAGUCAAUGCAACAAGCCAUUUCCUCUUUGAGAAAAGUGCCAAUUAUUUCUAUUCUGAGAAAGCUCCCAAAUGAGCACCUUCUCUGGCCCCCAAGGCCAAGAUUAUCACCAUUCUCACUGAUCCAUCAGAUCAGGUGUAUUCUUGGUAUCAGAUUUGACCAUGAGAAGGGGUUUUGGUGCCAGCUUCUAGAAGAAGAAAAAGCUAAGUGCACAGAAGAGUUCGAAGACCAAAUAUAGGUGUCCAUGAACCACGAGAUCCUUUUUGUCAAGGUUAUCACUGGGCUGUCCAACGUGCGUUGCUGCACAGACUGGGGCAAGCUCUCCCAUCCUGCCUUAGACAGGAGCUAUAGAAGGGGUUGCUUGCAAGGAGCAGGCUUGGCUGUCUUUGUACACUUGAUUUACGCACCCAAAGAGGCACUUCAGUAACUACGUCUAGCUGGCAAAUGGAGUUUCUUGAAACUGGGACUCACUGGACAAAGCAGGUUUGGAAAAUCUGAGCAAGCAGGUUGAUCUUCCAGGAAAGCUCACUGUUUACUCCCAAGUGAGCAGUCAGACAACACAGAGAAAACCAGAAGGAAGAAAGAAGAAAGAUGUUCCCAGUCUAUAUAGGCUAUAUUUUCCAGCUCAGCAAAGGAAACGGUCCCUGUUUCUGAACAGUACUUCUGUCUCUAACACUGGGAGAGGCUAAGGCUAUUAACAGCUCAGGGAACUGGAGCCGAAUAUGGGGCAAGCACUAAUCCCUCUGUUCGGGCAAACCGUUCUCCAAACAAAACUCCUCCAUUAGCUCCGUUUCAUCUCUGUUCGCGCACUCGCAUGUUGCCCACGCCUGCAAUUCCUGACCGGCAGCUGCCAGUCAUUUUCUCCUCCUUUCUCUUGCCUGCCCGCAGUGUGGCAGAGAUGCUCAAGGCGCUGGCUGGGACACAACGUUGGCAGCCUCAGGCCACCUCCGCAGGCACAGAGGACGAUUGAUGCUGGCUGUAACCUGCUGUAAGAAAACAGAAUUGCCAUCGUACCCAGAGCCGGCGUGAUAUGCGACUGGGACGUUUGGCAGCGAUCAGCGAGGCCACUUUAUUAUCACGUCCGCACUAAGUAAAUGAGGUCCUGACAGUCUGUGCUAUACAGCUCCCUGCAUGACACAGCAGUGAUUCAUUGGCCUUGUAUGAGUAAGCUGCAGGGAGUCCUUAGCCCAGAAGAGAUCACAUAAUUUAUUUAGUGGAAGUCUCCUGUGCCCCAUAAAUGCACAUAUAUCUGGACACAGGCACUGACACGGUUCUGGAGAGUUUUUUAAUACAUUCAGAUGAAAACAGAGUUAAAGUUAAGUGGGCGUACUGAGAACUGCUCUGCCAUACAUAGCAUCAUCCAUUUAUCCUGUGGUUUUGGCAUGAUCUUGGGACUUACAGCAAACCCAGGAGUGCUAUUGUAGCACGUGGCCUAAACCCUAAUGAUUUCUAAGCAGGUUGUGAUUCUCUUUGCUUUAGUUCUAUGAAGGUCUUAGAGAAAUACCAGCUAGGAUAGCAACGGGCCAGAAAUUGGGUUUCUUUCCAGUCCUAUCAAACCUAGGUCUGAUUCUUUCAGCCACACAGCAGCCACACCCCUUUAUAUGGAAGCCCUCUAAUGUAUAGAUACUUAGGCCAUCUUAUUCAUCCCGAUACAACAGAGAUACAGCCAGCAUUGCAAGGUACCUGAUGACAGAAAACAGGUUUCUGCUCGUUGUAUUCCCAGUUCUUAGGAAUCCCUGUCGGUGCAGUAGCAAGGGAUUGCUUCCAUAGCAAAAGAUAGUGUGACUGGUCUAUAAGGGUUUUUGAAAUCACAAAACCUUGUCAUUUUUAUUUCCAGCAAACCCAUUACUUUGAAGGGGAGUGAAGGGUGAAUGAUGGAAAACAGUGCAGACGUGGUUUCUUUUGCUGAGACUGGAUUAACAAGAAAAUUAAAUAUUUUUGCUUUUGAGAAUUUUGGUGUCUUCAUCAGCCAAAGGGAAACCCAGUAAUCCUGAGGAACAGAGUUAGUUCAUUGCUGCUUUCAUCCCACAUGUGCAGCACUGAUGGAGAUUGCUGGGACAUCGACCUGCAGCAGCGAUGCCAAGAAGUUUCAGUGGAAUCAUGCCACCAAACACACAGAUGAGCCACUUCUCUCUCUUAGAGAAACCUCAUUUACAGCUCGGGAAAAAGAAACUGGCACAGUUAAUCCGUAGACAACUGUUUAGGGAAGCCUGAUACUAUGAUACUGUGACGAUGUGCUUUUGCUUAGUCUGAAUCUUUGCCCCCUACAAAUGUUGGUAUAUUUGCAGUAGAUGUGCUUCCAUACAGAGUAAAUGGUAUAAACCCCUUUUUUGGCUAAAACCGGGGAUAUGUAAGUUUGAAUAAAGCCAUUCGUGCUCUGGAA